rnacentral:rRNA from 1 species
UACGUAGGGUGCGAGCGUUGUCCGGAAUUACUGGGCGUAAAGAGCUCGUAGGUGGUUUGUCGCGUUGUUCGUGAAAACCGGGGGCUUAACCCUCGGCGUGCGGGCGAUACGGGCAGACUUGAGUACUGCAGGGGAGACUGGAGUUCCUGGUGUAGCGGUGGAAUGCGCAGAUAUCAGGAGGAACACCGGUGGCGAAGGCGGGUCUCUGGGCAGUAACUGACGCUGAGGAGCGAAAGCGUGGGGAGCGAACAGG